ACAGUGGUGGUCCACUGGUAGAAUUCCUGCCUUCCAUGCAGAAGACCCUGGUUCGAUUCUGGCCAAUGCA
rnacentral:tRNA from 1 species